rnacentral:rRNA from 1 species
GACGAACGCUGGCGGCGUGCCUAAUGCAUGCAAGUCGCAUGCAGCGCCUUCGGGUGCUGAGUGGCGGACGGCCGAGGAACACGUGGGAACCUGCCUUUCUGUGGGGGACAACACGGCGAAAGUCGUGCUAAUCCCGCAUACGCUCACGGCAACGUGAGGAAAGCCGCAAGGCGCAGGAAGAGGGCCCGCGGCCCAUCAGGUAGUUGGCGGGGUAAUGGCCCACCGAGCCGGUGACGGGUAGCUGGUCUGUGAGGAUGACCAGCCAGACUGGGACUGAGAGACGGCCCAGACUCCUACGGGAGGCAGCAGCAAGGAAUUUUCGGCAAUGGGCGCAAGCCUGACCGAGCAACGCCGCGUGCGGGAUGACGGCCU